rnacentral:rRNA from 1 species
CAGUAGCCACGGGAAUACGAAGGGUGCAAGCGUUACUCGGAAUUACUGGGCGUAAAGCGUGUGUAGGUGGUUGUUUAAGUCUGUCGUGAAAGCCCUGGGCUCAACCUGGGAAUUGCGGUGGAUACUGGGCGACUAGAGUGCGGUAGAGGAUAGUGGAAUUUCCGGUGUAGCAGUGAAAUGCGUAGAGAUCGGAAGGAACAUCUGUGGCGAAGGCGACUAUCUGGGCCAACACUGACACUGAGACACGAAAGCGUGGGGAGCAAACAGGAUUAGAUACCCGCGUAGUCCCUGUCUCUUAUAC